rnacentral:rRNA from 1 species
UACGUAGGGGGCAAGCGUUAUCCGGAUUUACUGGGUGUAAAGGGAGCGUAGACGGCAAUACAAGUCGGAAGUGAAAUACCCGGGCUCAACCUGGGAACUGCUUUGGAAACUGUAUGGCUGGAGUGCUGGAGGGGUAAGCGGAAUUCCUAGUGUAGCGGUGAAAUGCGUAGAUAUUAGGAGGAACACCAGUGGCGAAGGCGGCUUACUGGACAGUAACUGACGUUGAGGCUCGAAAGCGUGGGGAGCAAACAGG